GGGGUGUUAGCUCAGCUGGGAGAGCGCCUGCCUUGCACGCAGGAGGUCAACGGUUCGAUCCCGUUACGCUCCACCA
rnacentral:tRNA from 2 species